rnacentral:tRNA from 1 species
GGCCCUUUAGCUCAGUGGUUAGAGCAGGCGACUCAUAAUCGCUUGGUCGUUGGUGCAAACCCAACAGGGGCCACCA